AGCCGGGACCCCCAAUGCGGGUGGUGUGGGGCAGGGUGCCGCAAGCUGGAGCCCCACAGCAGGUGCCCCCUGUCGGGGUGCCGGGGGCUGUGGCGCCUGCUGGGGGACUGCGAAUCCUGCCUGGUUUUUGGGGGGGCGGGGCCGGGGCCGCCCCACACCCCCGGCGCUAUGGGGUGGUGCGUCCAGAACGAUACCUGCGUGCCCAUGGAGGAGGCGGACGCGUGCCGUGUGGGGCAGCUCUCGGGCACCCAUGGGUGGUGGGGGCCGCAGUCGGUGCUGGUCCGGGCUCUGCCCCAUUGCCGGACCCACAGCUUCCAGCCGGGCCUGCACCUGCUCAUGUUCCAGCACCCGCGCAACGACUCCCAGCCGGAC